rnacentral:rRNA from 1 species
UACGUAGGGUGCAAGCGUUAAUCGGAAUUACUGGGCGUAAAGCGUGCGCAGGCGGUGAUGUAAGACAGGGGUGAAAUCCCCGGGCUUAACCUGGGAACUGCAUCUGUGACUGCAUCGCUGGAGUGCGGCAGAGGGGGAUGGAAUUCCGCGUGUAGCAGUGAAAUGCGUAGAUAUGCGGAGGAACACCGAUGGCGAAGGCAAUCCCCUGGGCCUGCACUGACGCUCAUGCACGAAAGCGUGGGGAGCAAACAGG